UGCGUAGGCGGUCCGCUAAGUUAGAUGUGAAAACUCUGGGCUCAACCCAGAGCCUGCAUCUAAUACUGACGGGCUAGAGUUCUGGAGGGGGUAGCGGAAUUCCUGGUGUAGCGGUGAAAUGCGUAGAUAUCAGGAGGAACACCGGUGGCGAAGGCGGCUACCUGGACAGAGUCUGACGCUGAGGCAAAGCUAGGGGAGCAAACA
rnacentral:rRNA from 1 species